rnacentral:rRNA from 1 species
UAGGGAAUCUUCGGCAAUGGACGGAAGUCGUGACCGAGCAACGCCGCGUGAGUGAAGAAGGUUUUCGGAUCGUAAAACUCUGUUGGUAGAGAAGAACGUUGGUGAGAGUGGAAAGCUCAUCAAGUGACGGUAACUACCCAGAAAGGGACGGCUAACUACGUGUCAG